UACGGGGGGGGCAAGCGUUGUUCGGAAUUACUGGGCGUAAAGGGCGCGUAGGCGGUUUGCUAAGUUGAAUGUGAAAACUCUGGGCUUAACCCAGAGCCUGCAUCCAAAACUGGCAAACUUGAGUACUGGAGGGGAAAGCGGAAUUCCUGGUGUAGCGGUGAAAUGCGUAGAUAUCAGGAGGAACACCGGUGGCGAAGGCGGCUCACUGGACCGGUACUGACGCUGAGACGCGAAAGCCAGGGGAGCAAACGGG
rnacentral:rRNA from 1 species